rnacentral:rRNA from 1 species
AAGAAAUUGACGGAAGGGCACCACCAGGCGUGGAGCCUGCGGCUUAAUUUGACUCAACACGGGGAAACUCACCAGGUCCAGACAAAAUAAGGAUUGACAGAUUGAGAGCUCUUUCUUGAUCUUUUGG